AAUAGAUACCCAGGUAGUCCACGCCGUAAACGGUGGGCACUAGGUGUGGGGACCAUUCCACGGUCUCUGCGCCGCAGCUAACGCAUUAAGUGCCCCGCCUGGGGAGUACGGCCGCAAGGCUAAAACUCAAAGGAAUUGACGGGGGGCCCGCACAAGCGGCGGAGCAUGCGGCUUAAUUCGAAGCAACGCGAAGAACCUUACCUAGGCUUGACAUGCAGGGAAAUCUGGCAGAGAUGCCAGGUCCUUCGGGGCCUUGCACAGGUGGUGCAUGGCUGUCGUCAGCUCGUGUCGUGAGAUGUUGGGUUAAGUCCCGCAACGAGCGCAACCCUCGUUCUAUGUUGCCAGCGGUUCGGCCGGGGACUCAUAGAAGACUGCCGGGGUCAACUCGGAGGAAGGUGGGGAUGACGUCAAGUCAUCAUGCCCCUUAUGUCUAGGGCUGCACGCAUGCUACAAUGGUCGGUACAAAGGGCUGCAAUACCGUAAGGUGGAGCGAAUCCCAAAAAGCCGGCCUCAGUUCGGAUUGGGGU
rnacentral:rRNA from 1 species